AACAUUCUGGAAAGUAUAACCAUAGAGGGUGAUAGUCCCGUAUGCGAAAAACAAACCUUAGCUAGCAGUAUCCUGAGUAGGGCGGGACACGAGGAAUCCUGUCUGAAUCCGGGUCGACCACGAUCCAACCCUAAAUACUAAUACCAGAUCGAUAGUGCACAAGUACCGUGAGGGAAAGGUGAAAAGAACUGAGGUGAUCAGAGUGAAAUAGAACCUGAAACCAUUUGCUUACAAUCAUUCAGAGCCCUAUGUAGCAAUACAGGGUGAUGGACUGCCUUUUGCAUAAUGAGCCUGCGAGUUGUGGUGUCUGGCAAGGUUAAGCAAACGCGAAGCCGUAGCGAAAGCGAGUCUGAAUAGGGCGCUUAGUCAGAUGCUGCAGACCCGAAACGAAGUGAUCUAUCCAUGAGCAAGUUGAAGCUAGUGUAAGAACUAGUGGAGGACUGAACCCAUAGGCGUUGAAAAGCCCCGGGAUGACUUGUGGAUAGGGGUGAAAGGCCAAUCAAACUUCGUGAUAGCUGGUUCUCUCCGAAAUAUAUUUAGGUAUAGCGUUGUGUCGUAAUAUAAGGGGGUAGAGCACUGAAUGGGCUAGGGCAUACACCAAUGUACCAAACCCUAUCAAACUCCGAAUACCUUAUAUGUAAUCACAGCAGUCAGGCGGCGAGUGAUAAAAUCCGUCGUCAAGAGGGAAACAACCCAGACUACCAGCUAAGGUCCCUAAGUCUUACUUAAGUGGAAAACGAUGUGAAGUUACUUAAACAACCAGGAGGUUGGCUUAGAAGCAGCCAUCCUUUAAAGAAAGCGUAAUAGCUCACUGGUCUAGUGAUUUUGCGCGGAAAAUAUAACGGGGCUAAAGUAAGUACCGAAGCUGUAGACUUGCGCACAACUUAGAUUAUUUAAGUUUAGAAUAUGAGAAACUAAGUUAUGUUUAGUUAUAUUUUUACUGAUUUUUAUAGAGUAAAGAUAGAAAUAAAACUUAGUAAAAUCAGUAAAAAUAUUCUUAGGCUAAAGUUAAGUAGUUUAAGUUGUGUGCAAGUGGUAGGAGAGCGUUCUAUUUGCGUCGAAGGUAUACCGGUAAGGAGUGCUGGAGCGAAUAGAAGUGAGCAUGCAGGCAUGAGUAGCGAUAAUUAAUGUGAGAAUCAUUAACGCCGUAAACCCAAGGUUUCCUACGCGAUGCUCGUCAUCGUAGGGUUAGUCGGGUCCUAAGUCGAGUCCGAAAGGGGUAGACGAUGGCAAAUUGGUUAAUAUUCCAAUACCAACAUUAGUGUGCGAUGGAAGGACGCUUAGGGCUAAGGGGGCUAGCGGAUGGAAGUGCUAGUCUAAGGUCGUAGGAGGUUAUACAGGCAAAUCCGUAUAACAAUACUCCGAGAACUGAAAGGCUUUUUGAAGUCUUCGGAUGGAUAGAAGAACCCCUGAUGCCGUCGAGCCAAGAAAAGUUUCUAAGUUUAGCUAAUGUUGCCCGUACCGUAAACCGACACAGGUGGGUGGGAUGAGUAUUCUAAGGCGCGUGGAAGAACUCUCUUUAAGGAACUCUGCAAAAUAGCACCGUAUCUUC
rnacentral:rRNA from 1 species